GAGCAGUGUGGUCUCAGCAGUCUUUACAGAAGGCUGGGUGUUAUCUGUGAGGGCGUGGGGGUGUGUGCUGCUGCUGCUACUACUGGUGCUCCUGCUACUGCUGCUUGGUCCCUCCGAGCGGCAACGGCAGCCUGUCCAGCCAUUUCUGCACGGCACCCGCUGGGGACCUGCCAGACGCCCCUGGAAGCCCGUCCGUAGAAGGCGCGGGAGGGUGAAACUUCAUUGCAUGAGAAUGUAAGUGAGGCGAGAGGUGAGUGCAGCCAAGAUCGUCCCCUGCCCCCAGCGGUGCACCAACCUCCUGCUGGCGGCGGGAAAUGAAGCCCAGAUUAAGACACGGCCGUCCCUCGCAGGGCGGCCCACUCCCUCACACGCCGCCCGCUCUCUAUGCAAAUUCAGAUAUUCUCGGGACGGAGUACUUCCAAGAGAAGGGAGCACAAGUACGCCUCAAGAACUCGCGUGGCACUUCACAUUUGUAUUCGAAGAAAAGAAACAAUAAGUGGCCUGAGCAGUGAGGAGACCGCAUGACGCAGGCGUGUGUCAACUUCCCAGCACUGUAUCCGAGGUCAGAUACCCAGCAAUGUACGGUCAGCCAGAGGUCGAAUGAGAGAAUCACCAUACAAGAUCUGUGCAAGGUGGCAUCACAUCACAUGGUGGACUGUUGAGUGAGGGAAUGCUUGGAGGCCUUCAUGCUGCGGUAUGCCUCCACCACCCUCUGCCGUUCCUCCUCAAGUAUCCUGCGUCUCCC